CGCGGGGUGGUGGAGUGGUACCACGCGGGGCUCAUAACCCCGAAGCCCUGGGUUCGAAUCCCAGCCCCGCAA
rnacentral:tRNA from 1 species